GAUGAACGCUGGCGGCGUGCCUAAUACAUGCAAGUCGAGCGAACGGACGAGAAGCUUGCUUCUCUGAUGUUAGCGGCGGACGGGUGAGUAACACGUGGAUAACCUACCUAUAAGACUGGGAUAACUUCGGGAAACCGGAGCUAAUACCGGAUAAUAUUUUGAACCGCAUGGUUCAAAAGUGAAAGACGGUCUUGCUGUCACUUAUAGAUGGAUCCGCGCUGCAUUAGCUAGUUGGUAAGGUAACGGCUUACCAAGGCAACGAUGCAUAGCCGACCUGAGAGGGGAAUGGGCCCAGUGGGACCUGGGACAGGGUCAGGCACCCUAGGGGGGGCAGCAGUAGGGAAUCUUCCGCAAUGGGCGAAAGCCUGAGGGAGAAACGCGGGGGGAGUGAUGAAGGUCUUCGGAUCGUAAAACGCUGUUAUUAGGGAAGAACAUAUGUGUAAGUAACUGUGCAAAUCUUGAAGGGACCAAAUCAAAAAGCCACGGCUAACUGCGU
rnacentral:rRNA from 1 species